GACGAACGCUGGCGGCGUGCUUAACACAUGCAAGUCGAACGAAGUGGCGAACGGGUGAGUAACGCGUAAUCAACCUGCCCUUCAGAGGGGGACAACAGUUGGAAACGACUGCUAAUACCGCAUACUGAAGGAGGGGAUUGCGUCGGAUUAGCUGGUUGGAGGGGUAACGGCCCACAAAGGCGAUGAUCAGUAGCCGGUCUGGAAGAUGUAAAGGCUAAAUUGGGACUGAGGCAACGCCCAGACUCAUACGGGAGGCAGCAGUGGGGAAUCUGCCGAAAGGGACGAAAGUCUGACGGAGCAACGCCGCGUGAGUGAUGACGGCCUGCGGGUUGUAAAGCUCUGUUAAUCGGGACGCGGUACCGGAAUAGAAAGCCACGGCUAACUACGUGCCAGCAGCCGCGGUAAUUC
rnacentral:rRNA from 1 species